AACGUACGCUGGCGGCACGCCUAACACAUGCAAGUCGAACGAAGUAGCAAUACUUAGUGGCAGACGGGUGAGUAACAUGUAGGUAUCUGCCCUUUGGCCUGGAAUAACACGAGGAAACUUGUGCUAAUACCGGAUAAGUCUUUACGGAGAAAGCUUUAUGCACCAUUGGAUGAGCCUGCACUUGAUUAGUUUGUUGGUGGGGUAAUGGCCUACCAAGACUGUGAUCAAUAGCUGAUUUGAGAGGAUGAUCAGCCACAUUGGGACUGAGACACGGCCCAAACUCCUACGGGAGGCAGCAGUGGGGAAUCUUGCACAAUGGAGGAAACUCUGAUGCACCGAUGCCUCGUGAGUGAAAAAGGCCCUUGGGUUGUAAAGCUCUUUCGUCGGGGAAGAAAAUGACUGUACCCGAAUAAGAAGGUCCGGCUAACUUCGUGCCAGCAGCCGCGGUAAUACGAAGGGACCUAGCGUAGUUCGGAAUUACUGGGCUUAAAGAGUUCGUAGGUGGUUGAAAAAGUUAGUGGUGAAAUCCCAGAGCUUAACUCUGGAACUGCCAUUAAAACUUUUCAGCUAGAGUAUGAUAGAGGAAAGCAGAAUUUCUAGUGUAGAGGUGAAAUUCGUAGAUAUUAGAAAGAAUACCAAUUGCGAAGGCAGCUUUCUGGAUCAUUACUGACACUGAGGAACGAAAGCAUGGGUAGCGAAGAGGAUUAGAUACCCUCGUAGUCCAUGCCGUAAACGAUGUGUGUUAGACGUUGGAAAUUUAUUUUCAGUGUCGCAGGGAAACCGAUAAACACACCGCCUGGGGAGUACGACCGCAAGGUUAAAACUCAAAUGAAUUGACGGGGACCCGCACAAGUAGUGGAGCAUGUGGUUUAAUUCGAAGAUACGCGCAGAACCUUACCAACACUUGACAUGUUCGUCGCGACUCUAAGAGAUUAGAGUUUUCGGUUCGGCCGGACGAAACACAGGUGCUGCAUGGCUGUCGUCAGCUCGUGUCGUGAGAUGUUGGGUUAAGUCCCGCAACGAGCGCAACCCUCACUUUUAGUUGCCAUCAUUAAGUUGGGCACUCUGAAAGAACUGCCAGUGAUAAGCUGGAGGAAGGUGGGGAUGACGUCAAGUCCUCAUGGCCCUUACGUGUUGGGCUACACACGUGCUACAAUGGUAUCUACAACAGGAAGCAAGACUGCGAAGUUAAGCAAAUCCCUAAAGGAUACCUCAGUUCGGAUUGCACUCUGCAACUCGAGUGCAUGAAGCUGGAAUUACUAGUAAUCGUGGAUCAGCGUGCCACGGUGAAUGCGUUCCCGGGUCU
rnacentral:rRNA from 1 species